rnacentral:rRNA from 1 species
UACAGAGGGGGCAAGCGUUGUUCGGAAUUACUGGGCGUAAAGGGCGCGUAGGCGGCCUUCUAAGUCGAACGUGAAAUCCCUGGGCUCAACCCAGGAACUGCGUCCGAUACUGGAAGGCUUGAAUCCGGGAGAGGGAUGCGGAAUUCCAGGUGUAGCGGUGAAAUGCGUAGAUAUCAGGAGGAACACCGGUGGCGAAGGCGGGUCUCUGGGCCGAUACUGACGCUGAGGAGCGAAAGCCAGGGGAGCAAACGGG